UUUUAAAAGUUUACUUUGCUCUGAUAUAAACUUAACUUCUAGCUAAACUAAGUAUGGUAGUUCUUCGCCAGUAAGAAUAAAACCCAGCCAGAGACAUUAAACAAUAGCUGUAAGGCUAAUUUAGUAAUCGCUACCUUUGUUGUGACUUAUUAGGUGCCAGCAGUCGCGGUUACACCUAUACAACUUGUUAAGUCAUUCAGGGUGGAUAUAACAUCUUUUAAAUAUUAAAGUUAGAAAUUUAGUGAAAUAAGUUCUAUACUUGUAAUUUAAUUAUUUAAUUUUUUUUUCCUAAACUCUUGUUAUAAACUAGGAUUAGAUACCCUACUAUAAAGAACAAAAAUUCUAGCCCUAAGCACUAGGACUAUAUAGUUAAAACUUAAAGAGCAUGGCGGCAGUUUUAAACUUCAGGGGAACUUACCAGAUAAUUGACAACCCCCAAGAAACAGAACUAAGUUUUAAAGUAUGUAUACCGCCGUCUUAAGAAGCUAUUUAAGAUUGCUUCAAAAAUCGAAUAUGAUAGAAGACAGGUCAUGGUGCAGCCAAUAACUUAGACAUAAGGUGAGUUACAAUAUUAAGUUUUUUCUAACUUUUACUGAAAACUUGAAUAAAGAUGGACUUGAAAGUAAAAUUUAAAGAAAUAUAAUUUGAAUUUUAAGAAGACUGUGCACAAAUCGCCCGUCACUCUCGUUGAAAAAGGAGAUAAGUCGUAACAUAGUAGGGGUAUCGGAAGUUGCCCCU
rnacentral:ncRNA from 1 species